rnacentral:rRNA from 1 species
ACGCUGGCGGCGUGCCUAAUACAUGCAAGUAGAACGCUGAAAGAGGAGCUUGCUUCUCUGGAUGAGUUGCGAACGGGUGAGUAACGCGUAGGUAACCUGCCUGGUAGCGGGGGAUAACUAUUGGAAACGAUAGCUAAAACCGCAUAAGAGUAGAUGUUGCAUGACAUUUGCUUAAAAGGUGCAAUUGCAUCACUACCAGAUGGACCUGCGUUGUAUUAGCUAGUUGGUGGGGUAACGGCUCACCAAGGCGACAAUACAUAGCCGACCUGAGAGGGUGAUCGGCCACACUGGGACUGGGACACGGCCCAGACUCCUACGGGAGGCAGCAGUAGGGAAUCUUCGGCAAUGGACGGAAGUCUGACCGAGCAACGCCGCGUGAGUGAAGAAGGUUUUCGGAUCGUAAAGCUCUGUUGUAAGAGAAGAACGAGUGUGAGAGUGGAAAGUUCACACUGUGACGGUAUCUUACCAGAAAGGGACGGCUAACUACGUGCCAGCAGCCGCGGUAAUACGUAGGUCCCGAGCGUUGUCCGGAUUUAUUGGGCGUAAAGCGAGCGCAGGCGGUUAGAUAAGUCUGAAGUUAAAGGCUGUGGCUUAACCAUAGUACGCUUUGGAAACUGUUUAACUUGAGUGCAAGAGGGGAGAGUGGAAUUCCAUGUGUAGCGGUGAAAUGCGUAGAUAUAUGGAGGAACACCGGUGGCGAAAGCGGCUCUCUGGCUUGUAACUGACGCUGAGGCUCGAAAGCGUGGGGAGCAAACAGGAUUAGAUACCCUGGUAGUCCACGCCGUAAACGAUGAGUGCUAGGUGUUAGACCCUUUCCGGGGUUUAGUGCCGCAGCUAACGCAUUAAGCACUCCCGCCUGGGGAGUACGACCGCAAGGUUGAAACUCAAAGGAAUUGACGGGGGCCCGCACAA